AAAGACUACAGGUAUUCCCCUAGUAACUGCGAGUGAAGAGGGAAAAGCUCAAAUUUAAAAUCUGGCAGCCUUUGGUUGUCCGAGUUGUAAUCUAGAGAAGUGUUACCCGCGCCGGACCGUGUAUAAGUCUCCUGGAAUGGAGCGUCAUAGAGGGUGAGAAUCCCGUCUUCGACACGGAUCCCCGGGGCUUUGUGGUGCGCUCUCAAAGAGUCGAGUUGUUUGGGAAUGCAGCUCAAAAUGGGUGGUAAAUUCCAUCUAAAGCUAAAUAUUGGCGAGAGACCGAUAGCGAACAAGUACCGUGAGGGAAAGAUGAAAAGAACUUUGGAAAGAGAGUUAAACAGUACGUGAAAUUGCUGAAAGGGAAACGCUUGAANUCAGUCGCGUCGGCUGGAAAUCAACCUUGCUUUUGCUGGGUGUACUUUCCAGUUGACGGGCCAGCAUCAGUUUUGACUGGUGGAAAAAGUCCAGAGGAAGGUGGCACCUUCNGGUGUGUUAUAGCCUUUGGUCGCAUACAUCGGUUGGGACUGAGGAACUCANCACGCCGCANGGCCGGUCUUCNGACACGUUCGUGCUUANGAUGCUUGGCAUAAUGNCUUUAAUCNACCCGUCUUGAAACACGGACCCAANGAGUCUUAACAUGCCUGCCNAGUGGUUUGGGUUGGAAAACC
rnacentral:rRNA from 1 species